rnacentral:rRNA from 1 species
CGAUGAAGUGGAGCUUGCUCCACGGAUUAGUGGCGAACGGGUGAGUAACACGUGAAUAACCUGCCCUCAAUUUCGGAAUAACCCAGGGAAACCUGGGCUAAUACCGGAUACGUAAACCUGUGGCAUCACAUGGUUUUGGAAAGUUUUUCGAUUGAGGAUGGAUUCGCGGCCUAUCAGCUUGUUGGUGAGGUAAUGGCUCACCAAGGCGACGACGGGUAGCCGGCCUGAGAGGGUGGACGGCCACACUGGGACUGAGACACGGCCCAGACUCCUACGGGAGGCAGCAGUGGGGAAUAUUGCGCAAUGGACGAAAGUCUGACGCAGCGACGCCUCGUGAGGGACGAAGGUCUUCGGAUUGUAAACCUCUUUCAGCAGGGACGAAGCGAAAGUGACGGUACCUGCAGAAGAAGCACCGGCUAACUAUGUGCCAGCAGCCGCGGUAAUACAUAGGGUGCAAGCGUUGUCCGGAUUUAUUGGGCGUAAAGAGUUCGUAGGCGGUUUUUCGCGUCGGAUGUGAAAACUCAGGGCUCAACCCUGAGCCUGCAUUCGAUACGGGAAGACUCGAGGACGGCAGGGGAGACUGGAACUUCUGGUGUAGCGGUGGAAUGCGCAGAUAUCA